UACGGAGGGUGCAAGCGUUAUUCGGAAUUACUGGGCGUAAAGCGUGCGCAGGCGGCUUGUUAAGUCUGCUGUGAAAUCCCCGAGCUCAACUUGGGAAUUGCAGUGGAUACUGGCAGGCUGGAGUAUGGUAGAGGAAGGUGGAAUUCCCGGUGUAGCAGUGAAAUGCGUAGAGAUCCGGAAGAACACCGGUGGCGAAGGCGGUCUGCUGGGCAGUUGCUGACACUGAGGCGCGACAGCGUGGGGAGCAAACAGG
rnacentral:rRNA from 1 species